rnacentral:rRNA from 1 species
UACGUAGGGGGCAAGCGUUGUCCGGAAUUAUUGGGCGUAAAGCGCGCGCAGGCGGUUAUUUAAGUCUGGUGUUUAAACCUUGGGCUCAACCUGAGGUCGCACUGGAAACUGGGUGACUUGAGUACAGAAGAGGAAAGUGGAAUUCCACGUGUAGCGGUGAAAUGCGUAGAUAUGUGGAGGAACACCAGUGGCGAAGGCGACUUUCUGGGCUGUAACUGACGCUGAGGCGCGAAAGCGUGGGGAGCAAACAGG